UACGUAGGGUGCGAGCGUUAAUCGGAAUUACUGGGCGUAAAGCGUGCGCAGGCGGUGAGCUGUGUCCGAUGUGAAAGCCCCGGGCUUAACCUGGAAAUGGCAUUGGAAACUGGCUCGCUGGAGUGUGGCAGAGGGGGGUGGAAUUCCGCGUGUAGCAGUGAAAUGCGUAGAGAUGCGGAGGAACACCGAUGGCGAAGGCAGCCCCCUGGGCUAACACUGACGCUCAGGCACGAAAGCGUGGGGAGCAAACAGG
rnacentral:rRNA from 1 species